GAUGGGAUGUAGUGUCGUCGGUGUGAUGACGCGUUGCCGUAAUCUUUAAGUAAACAUUGGGUACAAACGAACGUUUUUCCAAAGAUGCCAAUUUAUUGUGACGUCAAAUUAUGUUACAAUAACAAAUAUAUCAAAAAUCAAAGCAUAAAUAAUGAAGAACAAGUGACGUUUUUCGCGUUACCAAAAACAGAGCAACUGCGCAAAAAAUGGCUUGAGUUCAUCCAAGUCAAGAAUCCGAACCGGCGAGAUUUUCGUGUAUGUAACAAACACUCUGAGCCAAAGUAUAUCUGGAAAAAUAUUCACGAUGUUUACUAACGCGUGAUGCAGUUCCAACAUUGAAUGGACCUGUUGACGGUAAUUAUCGCUAAGAACAGCUGCAUGCAGAGUCUAAGGAUCUGCAAAUUUCGGCUCAAACAAGCUGUAUUGCGAUAACAGGCCAACCACACGUCAGUGGAAUUUUAUUGGAUGAUGUCGUACUCUUAAAAGAAGGACCUUCGACUACGCCGUAUAAAGAAAACAAGAACGCAGAUAUUUGUGGUAAGACUGUAAAAACGUAUUGAUAGGAAAAUUAGCGCAUGAAUUUGUACAAACAUUUAAUUUAAUAAAUUGGAAGUUCACUCAGAAUUCAAGAGCAGGCAUUUUCUGCAAAUUGUACAGUUAGUUAAAAUUGACAUUUACUUUAUAUUUAUAUUUACUAUUUCCAAAGUAUACACAAUUAAUAUUCGAAAUAAACGUUCACUAUACAUAUAAAUAACCAAAUCUGAACUUCCGAGUUAUACAAUUACUAAGUUUUGUACAAAACUUGAAAAUGAAUUGAAAUAAAAUAUACAAAAUCACCAACAUUUAUGGUUCUAUAUGAUAAAGGCAAUGAAUUGACCCUUUCAGUUCUUUAUAUAAGCCUUUUGUCAUAUGUUAGCAUAUUCAUUUAUAUUCUCAAAUUGUCUAGGUCGAUAUAGGUACGCCAGUUAAAAGAUCUACAGAUGUUUACACAAGAGACACAUUUUAUGUAACCGUUAUUUACGAUACAGUAUUAUGUACCGAUAUAGAUUUUUAUUAAGGUUUGACAUCAUUGUUUACGUUUUUUAAGUAUAAGUACUUUUUUUGAUAUUACGUAAUGAAGAUUAACUAUCUAAAUAUAUAAUUUCGAUACAA
rnacentral:lncRNA from 1 species